GACGAACGCUGGCGGCGUGCCUAAUACAUGCAAGUCGAGCGGAACUGGGGGAGCUUGCUCCUUCCAGUUUAGCGGCGGACGGGUGAGUAACACGUGGGCAACCUGCCCUGCAGAUCGGGGUAACUCCGGGAAACCGGUGCUAAUACCGAAUAGUUUGGCGCCUCUCCGGAGGCGCCACGGAAAGACGGUUUCGGAUGUCACUGCAGGAUGGGCCCGCGGCGCAUUAGCUAGUUGGUGGGGUAACGGCCCACCAAGGCGACGAUGCGUAGCCGAACUGAGAGGGUGACCGGCCACACUGGGACUGAGACACGGCCCAGACUCCUACGGGAGGCAGCAGUAGGGAAUCUUCCGCAAUGGACGCAAGUCUGACGGAGCAACGCCGCGUGAGUGACGAAGGUUUUCGGAUCGUAAAACUCUGUUGUGAGGGAAGAACACGUACCAACUAACUAUUGGUACCCUGACGGUACCUCACCAGAAAGCCACGGCUAACUACGUGCCAGCCGCCGCGGUAA
rnacentral:rRNA from 1 species